CAUGUCUUUUUGAUUAUAAUUUAAAGUCUAACCUGCCCUAUGAAUUUUAAAUGGCCGCGGUAUUUUGACCGUGCAAAGGUAGCAUAAUAAUUAGUUUUUUAAUUGGGAACUGGUAUGAAUGGUUGGACGAGAAAAAUACUGUCUCAAUUUAAUUUGGAUUAGAAUUUUAUUUUUGAGUAAAAAAGCUUAAAUAAUUUUAAAAGACGAGAAGACCCUAUAGAGUUUAAUAUUAUUUUAAUAUUUUUAAGAAUUAAAGUAUUUUAGGUUUAGUUAUAUUAAUUAAUAUUUAAUUGGGGUGAUUGAAAAAUUUAAAUAACUUUUUUUAAAUAAAAACAUUAAUUUAUGAAUAAAUGAUCCAUAUAUGUUUAUGAUUAUAAGAAUAAAUUACCUUAGGGAUAACAGCGUUAUUUUUUUUGAGAGUUCUUAUCGAAAAAAAAGUUUGCGACC
rnacentral:rRNA from 1 species